rnacentral:rRNA from 2 species
CAAGUAAUUAAGUGCAUGUGGUGGAUGCCUUGGCAGUCAGAGGCGAUGAAAGACGUGAUAGCCUGCGAAAAGCUCCGGGGAGGCGGCAAAUAUCCUUUGAUCCGGAGAUGUCUGAAUGGGGGAACCCACCUACUUUAAGGUAGGUAUUGCAACAUGAAUACAUAGUGUUGCAAGGCGAACGAGGGGAAGUGAAACAUCUCAGUACCCUUAGGAAAAGAAAUCAAUUGAGAUUCCCUCAGUAGCGGCGAGCGAACGGGGAUCAGCCCAUUAAGUUAUGUGUGUUUUAGUGGAACGCUCUGGGAAGUGCGAACGUAGAGGGUGAUAUUCCCGUACACGAAAGGGCACACAUAAUGAUGACGAGUAGGGCGAGGCACGUGAAACCUUGUCUGAAUAUGGGGGGACCAUCCUCCAAGGCUAAAUACUCCUGACUGACCGAUAGUGAACCAGUACCGUGAGGGAAAGGCGAAAAGAACCCCUGUGAGGGGAGUGAAAUAGAUCCUGAAACCGCAUGCAUACAAGCAGUGGGAGCACCUUCGUGGUGUGACUGCGUACCUUUUGUAUAAUGGGUCAGCGACUUAUAUUCAGUAGCGAGGUUAACCGUAUAGGGGAGCCGUAGAGAAAUCGAGUCUUAAUAGGGCGUUUAGUUGCUGGGUAUAGACCCGAAACCAGGCGAUCUAUCCAUGAGCAGGUUGAAGGUUGGGUAACACUAACUGGAGGACCGAACCCACUGUCGUUGAAAAGCCAGGGGAUGACUUGUGGAUAGGGGUGAAAGGCUAAUCAAGCCUGGUGAUAGCUGGUUCUCCCCGAAAGCUAUUUAGGUAGCGCCUCGGACGAAUACCAUAGGGGGUAGAGCACUGUUUCGGCUAGGGGGUCAUCCCGACUUACCAAACCGAUGCAAACUCCGAAUACCUAUGAGUACUAUCCGGGAGACAGACUGCGGGUGCUAACGUCCGUAGUCAAGAGGAAAACAAUCCAGACCGCCAGCUAAGGCCCCAAAAUCAUAGUUAAGUGGGAAACGAUGUGGGAAGGCAUAGACAGCUAGGAGGUUGGCUUAGAAGCAGCCACCCUUUAAAGAAAGCGUAAUAGCUCACUAGUCGAGUCGGCCUGCGCGGAAGAUGUAACGGGGCUAAAACUAUGUGCCGAAGCUGCGGAUGUAUACUUUGUAUACGUGGUAGGGGAGCGUUCUGUAAGCCGAUGAAGGUGUGUUGAGAAGCAUGCUGGAGGUAUCAGAAGUGCGAAUGCUGACGUGAGUAACGACAAAACGGGUGAAAAACCCGUUCGCCGAAAGACCAAGGGUUCCAGUCCAACGUUAAUCGGGGCUGGGUGAGUCGACCCCUAAGGCGAGGCCGAAAGGCGUAGUCGAUGGGAAAAUGGUUAAUAUUCCAUUACUUCUGUGUAAUGCGAUGAGAGGACGGAGAAGGCUAAAUCAGCCUGGCGUUGGUUGUCCAGGUGAAAGGAUGUAGGCAUGUAUCUUAGGCAAAUCCGGGGUACUCUAUGCUGAGAUCUGAUAGCAAGCUGUACUUGUACAGCGAAGUGGUUGAUGCCAUGCUUCCAGGAAAAGUCUCUAAGCUUCAGUUACACAGGAAUCGUACCCGAAACCGACACAGGUGGUCAGGUCGAGUAGACCAAGGCGCUUGAGAGAACUCUGCUGAAGGAACUAGGCAAAAUGGUACCGUAACUUCGGGAGAAGGUACGCUGUUGUUGGUGAUGGAACUCGCUUCCUGAGCUGACGACAGCCGCAGAAACCAGGCCGCUGCAACUGUUUAUUAAAAACAUAGCACUCUGCAAACACGAAAGUGGACGUAUAGGGUGUGAUGCCUGCCCGGUGCUGGAAGGUUAAUUGAUGGGGUUAGCGUAAGCGAAGCUCUUGAUCGAAGCCCCAGUAAACGGCGGCCGUAACUAUAACGGUCCUAAGGUAGCGAAAUUCCUUGUCGGGUAAGUUCCGACCUGCACGAAUGGCAUAAUGAUGGCGGCGCUGUCUCCAGCAGAGGCUCAGUGAAAUCGAAAUCGCUGUGAAGAUGCAGUGUACCCGCGGCUAGACGGAAAGACCCCGUGAACCUUUACUGCAGCUUGACACUGAACUUUGACCUUACUUGUGUAGGAUAGGUGGGAGGCUUUGAAGCUGGAACGCUAGUUCCAGUGGAGCCGUCCUUGAAAUACCACCCUGGUAAUGUUGAGGUUCUAACUCUGUCCCGUGAUCCGGGACGAGGACCGUGUCUGGUGGGUAGUUUGACUGGGGCGGUCUCCUCCUAAAGAGUAACGGAGGAGUACGAAGGUGCGCUCAGCGUGGUCGGAAAUCACGCGUAGAGUAUAAAGGCAAAAGCGCGCUUAACUGCGAGACCCACAAGUCGAGCAGGUACGAAAGUAGGUCUUAGUGAUCCGGUGGUUCUGUAUGGAAGGGCCAUCGCUCAACGGAUAAAAGGUACUCUGGGGAUAACAGGCUGAUACCGCCCAAGAGUUCAUAUCGACGGCGGUGUUUGGCACCUCGAUGUCGGCUCAUCUCAUCCUGGGGCUGAAGCAGGUCCCAAGGGUAUGGCUGUUCGCCAUUUAAAGAGGUACGCGAGCUGGGUUUAGAACGUCGUGAGACAGUUCGGUCCCUAUCUACCGUGGGCGCUGGAAAUUUGAGAGGAUCUGCUCCUAGUACGAGAGGACCAGAGUGGACGAACCUCUGGUGUACCGGUUGUGACGCCAGUCGCAUCGCCGGGUAGCUAUGUUAGGAAGGGAUAACCGCUGAAAGCAUCUAAGCGGGAAGCCUACCUCAAGAUAAGAUUUCCCUAGGACUUUAUGUCCUCUAAAGAGCCGUUCGAGACUAGGACGUUGAUAGGUUGGAUGUGGAAGCAUAGUGAUAUGUGAAGCUGACCAAUACUAAUUGCUCGUGAGGCUUGACUA